GGGCACAUGGCCACCAGUGACCCCCUGAGACACCCCCGAGUGGCUGUCUGGCUGUGGGGGCUGUCAGUCCACAUCAGAGUCAGUGAGGGUGCAGCAGCCUGAGUCAGGGACGGGGUGGCUAUUGCCGGAGACCACCGACCACAGCAUCCACGGGGCAGGAAGAGAAAGUUGAAGGAGGAAAGCCAGAGGGGAGGCCCCAGCCAGGGAGAGAGAAGUUCCUGUGGGUGUAACAGGAAGCUGUGGCUUGCGGGCAGUGGCCUGGGGACCUGCGGCAGGGAUGUGGAAUGGGGUCCUGCUGUUUGCGCACAGAAUGGACAAUGGAGCAAGCAAACAAUGAGUUCUUACAGGAGUGCACGCAGGCACAUGCGCACAGCAGCCAGCACAGAGCCAGCUAGCCUCCAGCCACACAGGCCGCUCGACUGAGUGACUGACAUCCAUAAUCCUCAUUAUGAAGAUUGCUACUCAUGGAAAAGAAGAUGAGAAGCUAAGAUGAGAGCACUAAAGGGUCACUCCCUGUCUGAUGCCUGAGCCGAGUCACUGCCUGCCGGGGGCUGCUGUGUCAUCCCAGAGUACCUGUUCCUCCCUCCUGACUGCAGCAGACAGAGGCAGCGUGGGGAACCAGGUGGAGGGUGGUUUGAGGCAAGGCUUUUUGUCUGGCCAUCCCUAUCAUCAUUCACCACCACCCUCCGAGUCCCUUUAGCCGUAUGUGGUUUCCCACCCUCUUCCCGUUAUUGGUGCAGAGAAUCAAGAUUCUUCUGGGUGUAGGGCAUCACACCUUGUCCUUGGUGUCGGCCCCAAGCCAGGGCUUUUUCUCUCUGGGUCUGUGAGAUUCAACUUUACCUCUUUUUUUUUUUUUUCUUGAGAUAGAAU